rnacentral:rRNA from 1 species
UACGGAGGGUGCGAGCGUUUGUCCGGAAUCAUUGGGCGUAAAGGGCGCGUAGGUGGCCCCUCAAGCGUGCGGUGAAAGUCAGGGGCUCAACCCCUGAUCGGCCGUGCGAACUGGGGAGCUUGAGCACUGUAGAGGCAGGCGGAAUUCCGGGUGUAGCGGUGAAAUGCGCAGAUAUCAGGAGGAACACCGAUGGCGAAGGCAGGUCGUCUGGGCAUUAACUGACGCUGAGGAGCGAAAGCGUGGGGAGCGAACAGG